CAUUAUGGUGCAUAUGCCAGCCAGGCAUUUCUUAAGCCAGUGUCACAUGCUACCCAGAAGAGACCAGAUGAAAAAUAAAAGGAACAAUGAUUAGGGCAGAAGACAGAAGUUGUGCAUACUCAGGUAAUAACCUGGACACUGGAACACAAAGAUAUGCAGCCUUUUGCAUAUUUGUAAGGAUGAAUGAAAGAUUAGAGGUCAAAUGCAGACACAGAAGAAGUGUUUUCAAGUUCUGCCAAGACAGCUGGUGAGAUUAAGAGUCAAGCUCACUCCAUAGCUGGUGCUGAGACGUCUUUACGUACUGCAAUGAGGUUUUCCUCAUGUGAAGUUACUAAAUCUGAGCGGAAAACUGCUGACCACAAUUGAGUGAAACCAGUGGAAGGAUGGAUCCCUCUUGUGGUGAAAACAUGUAAUGUCAAACACUGGACUUAUUUUUCCAGGACACAACAGCGUGUGGUUCAAAACAAUCAGUUUGCAAACUAUUGAAAUGUAAAAUAAAAAUAAAAAUAACUUUUAUCAUUUA